ACCCCAGGUGGGGGAUGACGUCUCAAAGGGAGAGGAAGCUUAAGCUACGUGCAGACAAGGCAGUGACCUGAGUUCCAGAAUGAAGAGACUUUAACAAUCAUCCAGGCCAGGAGAAGAGGAUGCUGGGUCCUCAGUCAGCCUGUGUCCAUCUCUGAAAUGAUGCUGAGCUUCACCUUCUCCCAUCUGCCUCUAGAUGUACCUGCUUGUGCUCAAGGGACCACUGUUCUCCCAAUAACCCUCCUGAUGAUCUGUUCCAUGCAGGCCACUCUGGGUCCUGCUCACUGGGAUGGAGAUCCCAGGUUCCUUCACGUCCCCUGGCCUGGGUGUCAUCUUCACCCCGCUCUCAGGGGCUGUCACAGUUCUCUGUCUCUGUCCCCAUGAAACCCUGGCAGCCCCUGAGGCUGCCCUUGGGCCAGCUGUCUGGGCAUAUCUCAGAUUUUGCUGCUGCUACUUUCUCUAAGAGACUUGCAGGCUUCCCAGGCUUUGCUUUGAAAGGGAAGAGCUAGUCCUUUCCCACCUUGGGUUCUCUAAACCCAUCUUGGAUUUCCAGUUGUCUUCACCACUGGACUCAGCCUAGGCGGGAAGUGAAGCAUCACUCACAGACUCACCCUCCGCCUCUUUGCUCCCCUUUGAAGUUCUUUCCCACGGCAGGAAAAGUCUUUCAUCCUCUUCCUGUGUGGCUGAAUAUGGACUCUUCAUCCUUCUCUUCACCAUAUAUUGUUUGAGGGUAAACUUAUGUUUUUCUCCCUCGGGCUUUGGAUGUUGAUAAUUAAAGCUCUGUUUUUGGAA